rnacentral:rRNA from 1 species
UCAGAUGAACGCGGCGGCAUGCCUUACACUUGCAAGUCGAACGGCAGCACGGGUGCUUGCACUGGUGGCGAGUGGCGAACGGGUGAGUAAUACAUCGGAACAUGUCCUGUAGUGGGGGAUAGCCCGGCGAAAGCCGGAUUAAUACCGCAUACGAUCUAUGGAUGAAAGCGGGGGACUUCGGGCCUCGCGCUAUAGGGUUGGCCGAUGGCUGAUAGCUAGUUGGUGGGGUAAAGGCCUACCAAGGCGACGAUCAGUAGCUGGUCUGAGAGGACGACCAGCCACACUGGGACUGAGACACGGCCCAGACUCCUACGGGAGGCAGCAGUGGGGAAUUUUGGACAAUGGGCGAAAGCCUGAUCCAGCAAUGCCGCGUGUGUGAAGAAGGCCUUCGGGUUGUAAAGCACUUUUGUCCGGAAAGAAAUCCUUGGCUCUAAUACAGUCGGGGGAUGACGGUACCGGAAGAAUAAGCACCGGCUAACUACGUGCCAGCAGCCGCGGUAAUACGUAGGGUGCAAGCGUUAAUCGGAAUUACUGGGCGUAAAGCGUGCGCAGGCGGUUUGCUAAGACCGAUGUGAAAUCCCCGGGCUCAACCUGGGAACUGCAUUGGUGACUGGCAGGCUAGAGUAUGGCAGAGGGGGGUAGAAUUCCACGUGUAGCAGUGAAAUGCGUAGAGAUGUGGAGGAAUACCGAUGGCGAAGGCAGCCCCCUGGGCCAAUACUGACGCUCAUGCACGAAAGCGUGGGGAGCAAACAGGAUUAGAUACCCUGGUAGUCCACGCCCUAAACGAUGUCAACUAGUUGUUGGGGAUUCAUUUCCUUAGUAACGUAGCUAACGCGUGAAGUUGACCGCCUGGGGAGUACGGUCGCAAGAUUAAAACUCAAAGGAAUUGACGGGGACCCGCACAAGCGGUGGAUGAUGUGGAUUAAUUCGAUGCAACGCGAAAAACCUUACCUACCCUUGACAUGGUCGGAAUCCUGAAGAGAUUCGGGAGUGCUCGAAAGAGAACCGGCGCA